AUGCUUCCCGCACUGAGCAACCACCCUCUACACAGUCAGGAUCGUCAAACGCACACUUUGGUUGGGGCUGGCCCUUGCCGCCAUGACUCUCAGGGUCUUUGGGAGCUAGACUGGCUUCAUGUUCCUUCCGCUACCACCACUAUCGCGAGUCCAUCCGCUUCUGUCGCUUCAGCUAUUGGCUCCUUCCAGCAGUGGCAUCAUCGACUUGGUCAUCUUUGUGGGUCUCGCUUGUCGUCAUUAGUUCGUCGAGGUCUUCUGGGGUCUGUCUCAGGAGAUGUCUUUUUAGAGUGUCAGGGCUGUAGACUAGGAAAACAGAUUCAGUUACCUUACCCUACUAGUGAGUCGGUGUCUCAGCCUCCUUUUGAUUUAGUCCAUUCUGAUGUAUGGGGUCCGGCUCCCUUCGCUUCGAAAGGGGGCCAUCGAUACUAUAUUAUUUUCAUAGAUGAUUUCUCUCGUUACACUUGG
rnacentral:rRNA from 1 species